rnacentral:rRNA from 1 species
UACGUAGGGUGCAAGCGUUGUCCGGAAUUAUUGGGCGUAAAGAGCUCGUAGGCGGUUUGUCGCGUCUGCUGUGAAACGCGAGGCUCAACCUCGCGCCUGCAGUGGGUACGGGCAGACUGGAGGUAUGCAGGGGAGAACGGAAUUCCUGGUGUAGCGGUGAAAUGCGCAGAUAUCAGGAGGAACACCGGUGGCGAAGGCGGUUCUCUGGGCGAUGUCCUGACGGCUGAGGAGCGAAAGUGUGGGAGCGAACAGG